UGCAUAUAUGUCAAAGAUGAAAGACUUCAAUAAGUAAAUAUAAAAUUAGGAUUUACCUAAAAAAAUAUAGAAGAAAUAAAUGAAAUUCUUACAUAAAUAUUCCAACGUCCAACUAGGCAAUAAGCAAAUAGAUUGUGCAAGCUUGUAGAAAGAUUGAAGAUUUUCUUUUCAUCUUCUAUUACAAAAUUAGUCUCUGGCCAGAAAAGAACAAGCCCGUAAUAUAUCGUCACAUAUGUCGUUGAAAAAUGGCUAAAAAGUUAUUUUUAAGCACGGUCAAAAAUACUGUAUUAGCUUUAUAAGGACGUUCACCAAUGUAAUUGCCACGAGGGCCGUAAUCGCAUUUAACAAAUGUCCAUCAAUCUUGGCAUUUAGCCCUGGCACGGCGAACAUGCUUUGUGUGAGCCCAAACAACCUGUGUGUAAUGCAAGCAUUCCCCUCCAUUACAAGUGUUCGAUUUCUCAUUAUAAAACUUCUCCUCAAUCCACAUAUCUACAGCUUCCUUUGCGCUCAGACCCCAUGAGCCCGCAGCAAGGUUUUCUCCAUAAGGUCCCUCGGAAUGCUCCAUUGCACAAUCUGCAACCUUUUGGUGGCAUAUUUCUUCACAUAGCCAGCAAGGGUGUCGUUCUGCACGAAAUUACUUGACAGUUUUAAUAAGAGAAAGUAGUUGAAAUUUUGUUUAUGAUAUUGUUGAGUCCAACUACGUACGAAACAUGUUUCUUUAUGUCACAUUGAAAGACAAGAAAGCAUAUUCA
rnacentral:lncRNA from 1 species